rnacentral:rRNA from 1 species
GCUACUUAAAACCAUCGCGAACUUAUCCAAGUUGCUUCGGCGGCGCGGCUCCCCUCACGGGGGACCGCAGCCCCCGCCUCUCAGGAGGUAAGGGGCAGCCGCCGGAGGUACGAAACUCUGUAUUAUAGUGGUAUCUCUGAGUAUAAAACAAAUAAGUUAAAACUUUCAACAACGGAUCUCUUGGUUCUGGCAUCGAUGAAGAACGCAGCGAAAUGCGAUAAGUAAUGUGAAUUGCAGAAUUCAGUGAAUCAUCGAAUCUUUGAACGCACAUUGCGCCCGCUAGUACUCUAGCGGGCAUGCCUGUUCGAGCGUCAUUUCAACCCUCAAGCUCUGCUUGGUGUUGGGGCUCUACGUCUGACGUAGGCCCUGAAAGGAAGUGGCGGGCUCGCUACAACUCCGAGCGUAGUAAUUCAUUAUCUCGCUAGGGAAGUGUGGCGUUCUCCAGCCGUUAAAGACCCCAUCUUUAACCAAGGUUGACCUCGGAUCAGGUAGGAAUACCCGCUGAACUUAAGCAUAUCAAUAAGCGGAGGAGGG